ACGGGUGAGUAACAUUUAGGAAUCUGCCUAGUAGUGGGGGAUAGCUUGGGGAAACUCGAAUUAAUACCGCAUACGACCUACGGGUGAAAGGGGGCGCAAGCUCUUGCUAUUAGAUGAGCCUAAAUCAGAUUAGCUAGUUGGUGGGGUAAAGGCCUACCAAGGCGACGAUCUGUAACUGGUCUGAGAGGAUGAUCAGUCACACCGGAACUGAGACACGGUCCGGACUCCUACGGGAGGCAGCAGUGGGGAAUAUUGGACAAUGGGGGCAACCCUGAUCCGGCCAUGCCGCGUGUGUGAAGAAGGCCUUUUGGUUGUAAAGCACUUUAAGCAGGGAGGAGAGGCUAAUGGUUAAUACCCAUUAGAUUAGACGUUACCUGCAGAAUAAGCACCGGCUAACUCUGUGCCAGCAGCCGCGGUAAUACAGAGGGUGCGAGCGUUAAUCGGAAUUACUGGGCGUAAAGCGAGUGUAGGUGGCUCAUUAAGUCACAUGUGAAAUCCCCGGGCUUAACCUGGGAACUGCAUGUGAUACUGGUGGUGCUAGAAUAUGUGAGAGGGAAGUAGAAUUCCAGGUGUAGCGGUGAAAUG
rnacentral:rRNA from 1 species